AUUGAACGCUGGCGGCAGGCCUAACACAUGCAAGUCGAACGGUAACAGGAAGCAGCUUGCUGCUUCGCUGACGAGUGGCGGACGGGUGAGUAAUGUCUGGGAAGCUGCCUGAUGGAGGGGGAUAACUACUGGAAACGGUAGCUAAUACCGCAUAAUGUCGCAAGACCAAAGAGGGGGACCUUCGGGCCUCUUGCCAUCGGAUGUGCCCAGAUGGGAUUAGCUUGUUGGUGGGGUAACGGCUCACCAAGGCGACGAUCCCUACCUGGUCUGAGAGGAUGACCAGCCACACUGGGACUGAGACACGGUCCAGACUCCUACGGGAGGCAGCAGUGGGGAAUAUUGCACAAAGGGCGCAAGCCUGAUGCAGCCAUGCCGCGUGUAUGAAGAAGGCCUUCGGGUUGUAAAGUACUUUCAGCGGGGAGGAAGGGAGUAAAGUUAAUACCUUUGCUCAUUGACGUUACCCGCAGAAGAAGCACCGGCUAACUCCGUG
rnacentral:rRNA from 1 species